UAUUUUGCUAUGAAGAAGAGGAGUAAGUAAACAUCCUAACAAGAGAGUAUAGUUCAUUGGCUGGAAAACUAUGCAAGGCACUAUUUACUGAAAGUAGCUUCUGAGCUUUCAAACUGAAAUAGCAGUAAGUUUGAACGGGAGAUUCCGUUAUAAUUUUUUAAGCGCUAGAUACUAUGUAUCUAGAACUAAGGUGGUACCGCGAGAUAACCUUCGUCCUUAUA
rnacentral:ncRNA from 1 species